GCCUUGUUCUUCGCUUUUAGGUUUUGCAGUUGGACGACGCCUCCCUGCUCACUUCAGCCUCUGGCCUUCUAUCUCUUUGAGACCUAAUACCAUGCCUUCAAUUAAGCUGCAGAGUUCUGAUGGAGAGAUAUUUGAAGUUGAUGUUGAAAUUGCAAAACAGUCUGUGACCAUCAAGACUAUGUUGGAAGAUUUAGGAAUGGAUGAUGAAGGAGAUGAUGAUCCAGUCCCCUUGCCAAAUGUUAAUGCAGCAAUAUUGAAAAAGGCAGCAAACUACUUAGACAUCAAAGGUUUGCUUGAUGUUACCUGCAAGACUGUUGCUAAUAUGAUCAAGGGGAAAACUCCUGAGGAGAUUCGAAAGACAUUCAAUAUCAAAAAUGAUUUUACUGAGGAAGAGGAAGCCCAGGUACGCAAAGAGAACCAGUGGUGUGAGGAGAAGUGAAAUUUCGUGUCUAACGCUGUAACACUGUAAGGAUUAUUCCAAAUACUAGUUGCACUGCUUUGUUUAUAAUUGUUAAUAUUAGAAAAACAGUCAACAAAUGCAGCAGCAAGUCAAUUGUAUUAGCAGAAUGUUGUCCUCAUUGCAUGUGUAGUUUCAGUACAGUUCCCAAACUUACGGCCCAGUUUCUUCUAGUAUGAUUGAAAGUUUCUUUUCUUUGCUCUGAAUAAAAUUGAACUGUGGGUUCCCUAUAGAAAGUGGCAUUUUGGGCUUUCCCUUUUUGUAAAGCAAUUUCUGCCUAGUUUAUUGUCCACUUAAUUUUAGUUCAGUGACUUUUAAAGUUGGCAUUGUAAAUAAAGCAACUUGCAAAAAAAAAAAAAAAAAAAAAA